AUUGAACGCUGGCGGCAGGCCUAACACAUGCCAGUCGAGCGGAUGAAGGGAGCUUGCUCCUGGAUUCAGCGGCGGACGGGUGAGUAAUGCCUAGGAAUCUGCCUGGUAGUGGGGGAUAACAUCCGGAAACGGGCGCUAAUACCGCAUACGUCCUGAGGGAGAAAGUGGGGGAUCUUCGGACCUCACGCUAUCAGAUGAGCCUAGGUCGGAUUAGCUAGUUGGUGGGGUAAAGGCCCACCAAGGCGACGAUCCGUAACUGGUCUGAGAGGAUGAUCAGUCACACUGGAACUGAGACACGGUCCAGACUCCUACGGGGGGCAGCAGUGGGGAAUAUUGGACAAUGGGCGAAAGCCUGAUCCAGCCAUGCCGCGUGUGUGAAGAAGGUCUUCGGAUUGUAAAGCACUUUAAGUUGGGAGGAAGGGCAGUAAGUUAAUACCUUGCUGUUUUGACGUUACCAACAGAAUAAGCACCGGCUAACUUCGUG
rnacentral:rRNA from 1 species